rnacentral:rRNA from 1 species
UGCCCCGUGGUACCAUGGCCCGGCAUCGGGAUAUGGUUAAAGCCUUCGGGCGGUACAAGAUGGCCAUGCGUCCCAUUAGCUUGUUGGUAAGGUAACGGCUUACCAAGGCUACGAUGGGUAGGGGCCCUGAGAGGGGGAUCCCCCACACUGGUACUGAGACACGGACCAGACUCCUACGGGAGGCAGCAGUGAGGAAUAUUGGACAAUGGAGGAGACUCUGAUCCAGCCAUGCCGCGUGCAGGAAGAAUGCCCUAUGGGUAGUAAACUGCUUUUAUACGGGAAGAAAAAGAGCUACGUGUAGCUUACUGACGGUACCGUAAGAAUAAGGACCGGCUAACUCCGUGCCAGCAGCCGCGGUAAUACGGAGGGUCCGAGCGUUAUCCGGAAUUAUUGGGUUUAAAGGGUCCGUAGGCGGGCCGAUAAGUCAGGGGUGAAAGUUUGCAGCUCAACUGUAAAAUUGCCUUUGAUACUGUUGGUCUUGAGUUAUAGUGAAGUUGCCGGAAUAUGUAGUGUAGCGGUGAAAUGCAUAGAUAUUACAUAGAACACCGAUUGCGAAGGCAGGUGACUAACUAUAUACUGACGCUGAUGGACGAAAGC